GACAGGGUCAGGAUAUUAGUCUUGCACCACAUUUAUGGAUUACUUAAGAAAAGAAUAUGAAAGGAAAACGGUUUUCUUCGAGCCUCAUGCAUGCAUAAGUGAAGCAGGAAAGGAGAUUUUUUGACAUAGUCCACGUUGAUCAGAGUCUUCCAAUCUAUAAGAAUUUAAGUAAACAAAAUUGCCUAUUACCUUGGGGAAUUAUUACUUUCAAACAAGAAUGCAUAUUCCCUGCACUACAACAGUACAGAUGCAGAUUUGUUUGGAUAUGUACCUGUGUUCUAAUCCACAUAAUAAAGCCCAUCCAUGCCUUACUGAACUGAUUGAGUGCAUCUUUUGAUGCCAGUGGAGAUGUUCAUCUGACUGUGCAUUCCCAAGCUCAGAAGCAUUGGUGAUAGGACUGUUAUCAAAACACACCAUUACAGCCUUUCUUGCCCUUGACCUUCAGAAGAUCAGAUGAAGGAUAUCAAGCCAGUGCUU